CCUACGGGUGGCUGCAGUGAGGAAUAUUGGUCAAUGGACGCAAGUCUGAACCAGCCAUGCCGCGUGCAGGAAGACGGCCCUAUGAGUUGUAAACUGCUUUUGUACGGGGGUAAACGCAGAUACGCGUAUCUGUCUGAAAGUAUCGUACGAAUAAGGAUCGGCUAACUCCGUGCCAGCAGCCGCGGUAAUACGGAGGAUUCAAGCGUUAUCCGGAUUUAUUGGGUUUAAAGGGUGCGUAGGCGGUCGGAUAAGUUAGGUGUGAAAUCACGAGGCUCAACCUCGGUAUUGCCUCUAAUACUGUACGGCUAGAGAGUAGUUGCGGUAGGCGGAAUGUAUGGAGUAGCGGUGAAAUGCUUAGAGAUCAUACAGAACACCGAUAGCGAAGGCAGCUUACCAGGCUACUUCUGACGUUGAGGCACGAGAGCGUGGGGAGCGAACAGGAUUAGAUACCCGUGUAGUC
rnacentral:rRNA from 1 species